rnacentral:rRNA from 1 species
CCUACGGGGGGCAGCAGUGAGGAAUAUUGGUCAAUGGCCGGAAGGCUGAACCAGCCAAGCCGCGUGAGGGAGGAAGGCGCAGAGCGUCGCAGACCUCUUUUGCCGGGGGACAAAAGGCCGGACGGGUCCGGUUCUGAGGGUACCCGGAGAAAAAGCAUCGGCUAACUCCGUGCCAGCAGCCGCGGUAAUACGGGGGAUGCGAGCGUUAUCCGGGUUCAUUGGGUUUAAAGGGUGCGCAGGGGGGCCUUUAAGCCGGCGGGGAAAUCGCGGGGCUCAACCCCGCCGGGCCGUCGGAACUGGGGGCCUUGAGUGCGGCGGAGGCAUGCGGAAUGCGUGGUGUAGCGGUGAAAUGCAUAGAUAUCGCGAAGAACCCCGAUUGCGAAGGCAGGGUGCCGUGCUGCAACUGACGCUGAGGCACGAAAGCGCGGGGAUCGAACAGGAUUAGAUACCCUAGUAGUC